UAUCUCUGUAGAGUCUGCAUAUCAAUAAGCGGAGGAAAAGAAACUAACAUAGGAUUCCCCUCAGUAACGGCGAGUGAAGCGGGAAGAGCUCAAAUUUGAGAUCUUCAAGGUUCUACCUUGACGAAUUGUAGUUUAAAGAAGUGUUUUCUGUUGGAGUUUUGGUAAAAGUUCUUUGGAAUAGGACAUCAUAGAGGGUGAGAAUCCCGUAUUUGACCAUUAUUUCCAACUUUGUGAUACACUUUCAAAGAGUCGGAUUGUUUGGGAAUGCAGUCCAAAAUGGGUGGUAAAUUUCAUCUAAAGCUAAAUACUGGCGAGAGACCGAUAGCGAACAAGUACCGUGAGGGAAAGAUGAAAAGAACUUUGAAAAGAGAGUUAAACAGUACGUGAAAUUGUCAAAAGGGAAGCGUUUGACACCAGUGUUGUUUUCUCGAAAAUCAAUUAAAAAUGGCAGGAUUUUGUGUUGUAUUGACUUUAUCAGCUUUCUGCACUUUUUUCUUGUCUUUUUUAAUGCACUUUUCGUUUAACAAGUCAACAUCAAUUUCUUUUGUUGUAAAAGGGUCAUUGGAAGGUGGCUUUCUUUUCGGAGAAAGUGUUUAUAGCCUUUGGCCUCUGCAACCGGAGAGAUUGAGGUCUGCAGCGUAGAUCCUUCGGGGUUAGAUGCAUUUGUGCUAAGUUAUAGCCUUUCAUAGACAACUUGUUGACUAUGAUCAGUCAUGUAGCUUACUCGCUUAUGUCAUUUUACCUACGCUUAGGAUGUUGAUGUGAUACUGCGAGC
rnacentral:rRNA from 1 species